rnacentral:lncRNA from 1 species
UCUUAUUCAAAGUCCGUUUGUUCAAGCAUUGCAAAGUUCAUGAUACAUGGUUCAAAAGUUAUGAUUAAUACAUAAAUUUGGAAGGCAAGGUUCUGAUUUGAAAAGCAAGACAUUGUUUCAUUGAAUCCAAAGGGCUAUUUCAAUUCAAUGGUCCAUUUCAUUCACACAAGUACAUUUACAAAGUUUCAUACAAAUUUUUUUUACAAAAAAAUAAAGUUUGACCUACAUUUGACUUUUGGUCAACUGUUGGCUUUUUGGUCAACCAAUUAACCAAAGUCAACCGACCCAAUUCCUAGACCUAACGCAUAAUUUCCACAUUGAUUCUUCAUUAUUUUGCAUCCUUUCACUUGAUUGCAUGACCAAACAUUUCUUCAUGAGCAAGUAAACUUAGUUUUCUCCAAACCAUCACCAUGAGCUUUCAUGUAGUUCCAUGCCAAGCAAGCUUCAAUCAUCAGCAUAUCAGCCAACAACAAGCUAAAUAUCUCAACCAUUAUCAUAUCAUUUAAAAUAGCUUGCAACAUUCAUGUUAAAGUAUCAAGCACUCAUAAAAUCCUACGUGGAAAUGCAAAAUACAAUAAUGUAGCAGACAACUACAUUAAAACAGCUUGUCAAGUAACAACCAUGUACCCUUGCUCACCAAUUUACAACAAAUCCAUUCAAGCAAUGAUUCAAAACAAGCCAUCAACAUAACAUUCAUAGCAAACAUCAUCAACAAAACUAAGAAAGUAGCAUACCUAACAUUCAUAUAGCUAUAAUAACACACUUACAAUCUACCAUAACCAACCCAUUUAACUUCCAAUUACUAACUAUUUUUGUCCUAAUUCUAACAAUUUCAAGAUAAAUUUUCAGUAUGAAUUAACCCGCUUGCAUUGACAUCAUUCAAAAGAUUUUUCAACUGAUUUCUAACAUUACAACAAAUACAGUAACAUAGAUAUUAAUUUACUCAUUAAAAUUCACUAACUGUCAAGUUUAAUUCACACUAAAUAAUCUCAAUCAGCUAACAACAAUAAGCAUAUCAACAGUUAACAUACAAGCAUGGCAUAUCAUCUCACUUCAAUCAAGUAACAUACAUGGCAGCCAUGGAAUUUGCAAAAAGCAUCAAUCAUUAUUAAACCUAUUUGUAAAAAUUGAACUACAUAACAACAACAAGACGUAUGAGCAACACCUGCAAGAUUACAUUCAAUUUGUCCAUUAAACCAUCAUAACAAAGAGCAUUACACCAAUCAAGCCACCAAUCAAAACAUUAGAAAACCAUUCCUGAACAUGAAAUACAAUAUGACAAACCACUUGCGAGAACUCACCAAAACAUGACCUCACCAACCAUGACCAUUGACCUGCUGCAACCUCACCAUGACUUGUUGCAUCAAUACACAUCUGCCUUGAACUUACAGCCAUGCCCUACAUCCACAUAUCAUAACCUCCAGCAACAUCUAUCAAGCCUUGACACACCAUCAUCACCAUGAACAUGAUGAAACCUGGAACAUUAGCAUUCCAUACAAAAAUAUAAUACAUAUUUCAAAUAUUCAAUCCUCUAACAGUCAGUUUAACUAACAUUUCACUAACAGAGAAAUGAUAGUUCAAACUUUCAACUAAUUCUCCUUUGGUUAAUGCUAACUAAAUAAUGCAUUAAUUAACUUCAUAACUAGUUAAUGGUGUUAACUCUUCUAACAAACUUACUAAUUGAUUGAACUAACCCUAACCUCUUCCCGAACCUUCAAAAAAACUUUACCCGAGUCUGCCCCAUUAUGUUACAAGCCCCAUUAUGUUACAAGCUGCGAUCCCUAUAAAUCAAACCUCAUACAUACAUCCAAUGGGACUGAUCAUAAUACCGAAAAUCUCAGAAUCUAUGCAUCAUCUUCAACCUCUCAAAUAUAAUCACUCAGAGCACAUCCCUAGCCUUCUGCAACGUAUCACCAUUAGACCUUGAAUGAAGGUGUCCUAAAACCUCUAUAUGAUUCCAUCACUCUCUUCACAACCUCAUGAGUUCUCUCUGCAACUUCUACUCCCUCUCAAAGCACAAUCUUAGGUAUACAUUUUAGGAGAAGAAGAAGAAGGAUCUUUAGAGGAGGGAGAAUCAGAAAGAAGAAGAAGAUAAGAGCAGGAGCAUACCAGAUUUCAAGUGAUUUUCCCAUCGCUGCUUCAUCUUCUCCGAUCCAACACUUUGGCGGAGUAAUUCUCAGCUUCGGAGGUAGGUUCAUCUUCAUGAUUCUAUUGCAAUUAGGUUAUCAUGUUGUAGCUUGCAUCAUGGCGAUUUAAAUCCCUAACAAUUAUGGCUCUGAAUCUUGUCCUUCGCUGUGUAAUUAAUGGUUGAACUCCUAGGGUUCUUGAAUUCUUUUGUCCGAUUUUGAGGAUAGAUUCAGAUUUGGUUGAAAUUCAAGGAAGAUUUGGAUUGGGGAGGUAGAAACAGAUUCUUUGCUGUAUCUGAUGGUUGUUUAUGGUGGCCACCGCGCCUGAGGCAAUUCCCGGUGCUAUUUAGUUUUUGUUCAUUUUUGUUGUUUAUUUGUUUUUGUUCAUUUUUGUUGUUUAUUUGUUUAAUUUUAAUUGUUUUUAAUUAGGCCAUUUAGAGUUUUUAGGAUUAGUUUAAUUAGUUUAGUUAGAUUUUUAGGACUAAUUAGAUUCAAGAUGUUAAUUAGAAUUUUAGUGAGUAAUUAGGACCUUUAGGUAAUUAGCUUAGAACCUUAGAAAAAUAGGAUUAAUUAGAGUAUUAAUUAACUUUUAAAAUUUAGUUAGAUUUCUAAAUAAUUAGGUUUCUU